rnacentral:rRNA from 1 species
UACGUAGGAUGCAAGCGUUGUCCGGAAUUAUUGGGCGUAAAGAGCGCGCAGGCGGUUUGUCAAGUCGCGUGUGAAAGCCCCCGGCUCAACUGGGGAGGGUCACGCGAUACUGAUCGACUCGAAGGCAGGAGAGGGUAGUGGAAUUCCCGGUGUAGUGGUGAAAUGCGUAGAUAUCGGGAGGAACACCAGUGGCGAAGGCGACUACCUGGCCUGUUCUUGACGCUGAGGCGCGAAAGCUAGGGGAGCAAACGGG